GAGAAGGGUGAUUCCUCUGGCCUCGGUGGCUCUUCUCUCGUCGACUCCUCGGCGACGUCUCCUCUCGUCGAGGAAGGAAAAAGGCGACGUCUCUAUCGAUGGCUCUGCUUGAGGAAGGAUGACGGCGAUUUGGAUGGAGAGCUUGAGUCGGUGGUUCUCCUCGGCGAUACGGCGAUGUCUCAAAUGGUGGGUCUCAUCGACGAAGGAAAACGACGAUCUGACUAUUGGUGGCUCUCAGAGACGCAGAUAAACGCCGCCGAGUGUUAAUCUUUGUUUUGGUUGUUGAUCAAAAGGUAAAAAUCUUUUCACUUGAUUCUGUCUUAAAUUAAUCAUGUCUUAAUCUUUGUUUUGGUUGUUGAUUUGUUUUUUAAUUUGUUUCUGUGGUUCAGUCGAUACAUGGAUGGAUCAAGAUGCACAAUCCAGGUUCAAGACGAAGAUAAACGGCGUCUGUUGCUUAGGCGUAUGAAACGAUAAUACUUUGUUCAUUUGGUUAUGUCUUUGAGUCUUCCAAUUAUCCAUGAUCCCAUUUGUUCUUUCAUUUUAUAAUUUUUUUUUUUGUUUCUUUCUGUCUUUGAGUCGGGAGAUGGAUGGAUGAAGACGCAGGAUCCAGGUUCGCCAGACCAAAGGCGUACUCUUGUUGAUAGAGGUAAACAUUUAUCUUUGCUCUGUCCAAUAGAAUAAAGCAUUGUCUUAGGUAAUUGUUAGGUAAAGCAUUGAAAUGAAUUGACUCCUCGGUGAUAAAUGCUUUGGUUAGGUUUGCGUUGUGUUUAGGUAAUAAAUUGAUGGUUUUGUGUAGUUAAUGAAUUGAUGUUAAGGUUUGAUAGAUAGAGAUGGUGUAGUGUGAUGAAUAUGUUAGGAAUAUGUCAACUCGGUUUAAUAGAUAUAGAUGGUGGUUGUGAUCAAUGCGUUAAUCCUUCUCUUUCUUCUAUUAAACUCUUCCCCUUUCUCCUCUUUUCUUAUGUUCUCAAUUCUUUGCUUCUGUUCUUUUAUCUUCUCCCUUCUUUGAUCAACGGAAAUGGAUUACAAUCCGUUUACGCACUCAUCAAACUUUGUUGGACUACUUAAUAGUCAACAAAGUAUUUCCUUUGGUUCAUCUCAAGUUCCAACUUCAGUCUCUAAGGAUGUUGGUAAGCGUCGGGAACGAAGGAAGUGGACGCCCAGUGAUGAUAUUCUGCUGAUCAGCUCGUGGCUCAACACGAGCAAAGAUCCAAUUGUUGGCAAUGAGCAAAGGUCAGACACAUUCUGGACCAGAAUUUCAGCGUACUAUGCCGCUAGUCAGAAGGUUGCUGGCUGCGAAGAGAGAGAGAGAGGCUGGUCACUGUAAACAACGCUGGCAUAGGAUCAAUGACUUGGUCUGUAAAUUAUGUGGCUCGUACGAAGCUGCUAAAAGAGAGAAGAGUAGCGGCUGCAAUGAGAAUGAUGUGCUAAAAAAAGCACAUGAAAUAUUCUACAAUAACUUUAACAAGAAAUUUAACCUCGAGCAUGCUUGGAAAGAGCUGAGGAAUGACCAGAAGUGGAGUGACCAAUCUUCUGCAAAAAACGAGGGAAACUCUAGCAAGAGGAAGGGUGAUGACGGUGGAGGAACAUCGAACUCCCAAGGUACUGAACCCAAGCGUCCUGCGGGUGUUAAGGCCUCAAAAGCCUCUGGGAAGAAGAAUAUGGUAGAGGAGAAAGCGCUUAAAGAGUUUGAAAGUAUGUGGGCUAUUAAACAACAUGACUUGGCCACCAAGGAAAAGUUGUCGAGGAUGAGUCUACUUGACUCUCUGCUUGCAAAAAAAAGAGCCUUUAGCCGAGUAUGAAGAAGCCUUAAAGAAGAAGCUCAUCAGUGACAUUAUGUUUAAUUAGCGUAGGUUUAGUUAUUGUUACUUGACUCUCUUAGUAAUGGUUUUUGUUAUUGUUAGAAAUGCUUCUUUUUCUUGUUAGAAAUGGUUCGAAAUGUUUAUUCUUGUUAAGUCUGAUUAUUGUUCUUGUUUAACUCUCUGUUUCAGGUCAGGACAGUGUGAAAAGAUGGAGCAAUGGGAGUGGAAUAAUCACGGAGUCUCUGUGGUCUUGCGGUCUUGGCGUCUUGUGUCACGGAGCUUUCAGAGUCACGGAGUGAAAGUGUAGUAGUACUUGUGGUCUUGGAGUCUUGUGGUCUUGAAGUCUUGUUGUCUUGGGGUCUUGAAGUCUUGUUGUCUAGUGGUCUUGGAGUGUUGUAGUACUUGUGUCACGGAGUAAAAGUGUAGUAGUCUUUUAGUACUUGUGUCACAAGUCUUGGUAUGUAGUCUUGGAGUGUUGUUGUAGUCUUGUAGUACUUGUGUCACGGG
rnacentral:lncRNA from 1 species